UCGUAUCUCAUUUAAAAAGGCAGAUACGACAAGCUGAACAGAAACUAAGUCACAAAGCAGCAGAUUUGGUUAAUGACAAGGGACUCAAGUGCUUUUGUGAAGAAUGAGAUGCUUCACUGGGUUUGGCAGGACAGUAGAGAAACCAAACCAUCAGUUGGUCCAAACAGCACACACAUUUUGUAGCACCACGUUCCAGUUGUAUCAGCUUUGUGUGAGAGGACACGGUGCUUUAAUCCAGUUUAAUCACAAGGGUUGGUCUACAUACAUCCAAAAAAGCAGCUUUCACAAAACUUCAAUUUUAGCUUUUCCAACUGGACUUUGCUAUGAUAAUAAUGUCUGUGCCUUGGACUUUUGACAAGACUCCAAGCUAGUGAGAGCACCCAUUUUGUUUCUUUUUUCAACUGUUCAAGAGGACAAUAGGCAAGGUGGAGGGGCUUCAUACAUCCUGUCUGGUUCCAACUGACCAAUAGGAACACAGCAAGAGGACAACACAGGAAGCUAGUUGACACUUUCAUGUUUAAGGAGAAGGGCUUAUGGUCGCCUUCAAACCAUCAACACAUACCUAGUUUUCAUCGAAGCUUCAAGCUUGGUUUCUGCUUGAACCAAAAAAAGAAAAAAACAGACCCAGAAAUAUGUUUUUAGAGGGAUCAAGUAGAACGCCAUCAGAACACCAAUAUACAAUAGACACGAGUAGAAAGAGAAUAAGUCCAGUUGGUGCUAAGGCGACGAGGGAGUGAGCGAUAAUUGGGGAGGGGGGCGGUCGAGCAGCGAACCAAAGUGAGCGAGGUGGGGAUAUAGUGCACAGCCCCGUGGUAACUAUGGAAACAUAAAGGUCAGCAGCUGGGAAAAGGGAGGGAUAGGAAGGAAGUAACGAGGAAGGCAGAGAAUGAACCAUCCUCUUCCAUCCUUCUCUCUGUGCAGUUCAACAUAUAAAGUCAUACAAGAGGCUGUUUAAGGACAGGGAGGGGGUGGAUUGGCAGACGCUAUAGAUGGGGUGGUGCUGUUGUCAUGUGUGCAUCCUCUCCCCCCUCCCCCUUCUUUCCCCUCAGUAUUCCCACAGCGUGGCCGUCUCCAGGUCGUCGGCGUUGGCCUUGAGCACGCCGGCGUGGUCCCCACGGAGAUACUUGCCGUCGGCGCAGUGGCGGACGGCCACCUUGUUGUAGUCGCAAAACUCGAAAAGGAAGUCGACGGGCGUGUCGCUGCUGCUUACCACCGCCUGCUCGUUUCCUACCAUCCAGUAUUUACCAGUGGAGUCUGCAGACAAAGAUACAGGAUGAGAAGAGGAAAUGAGACUUUGUGGUCCAAUGUGGACAAAAGGCAUCUAGAGAACAAAAGCUGCCGAGUGCAUUGACGGAAUGCGGCUGCAGGGAAUGUGUCUCUUUUGUCAAGUCGACAACACCUUUAAGGACUUCCAGGAGCUCCAGCGCGCCACCUACUGGCGACAAUGGCAGACUUCACCACUUCCAGCCUCUGCAUGCUGAAUGGAUUUCACAGCACGUCUGUGAGUAGACACAUAGUAGCAGGUGUUGUUGGUAGUCGUUGCCACUUAGGAAUCGCCCACACCCCCCUUCUUUCCUUCUCUUCUUCACUCAUCCUCUCUCUUUUUUUUUUUUUAUUCAUAUCAUCCGU